GAAUUCGAUUCAGGCCUAACACAUGCGAGUCGAGGGGUAGAACACUUCGGUGUUUGAGACCGGCGCACGGGUGCGUAACGCGUAUGCAAUCUACCUUGUACAGGGGAAUAGCCCAGAGAAAUUUGGAUUAAUGCCCCAUAGUAUAUAACCUUCGCAUGUUGGUUAUAUUAAAGUUCCAACGGUACAAGAUGAGCAUGCGUCCCAUUAGUUAGUUGGUAAGGUAACGGCUUACCAAGACGAUGAUGGGUAGGGGUCCUGAGAGGGAGAUCCCCCACACUGGUACUGAGACACGGACCAGACUCCUACGGGAGGCAGCAGUGAGGAAUAUUGGU
rnacentral:rRNA from 1 species